CAGGUCACUCCUACGGGAGGCAGCAGUGGGGAAUAUUGGACAAUGGGCGCAAGCCUGAUCCAGCAAUGCCGCGUGUGUGAAGAAGGCCUUCGGGUUGUAAAGCACUUUUAUCAGGAGCGAAAUACUACUGGCUAAUAACCGGUGGGGCUGACGGUACCUGAGGAAUAAGCACCGGCUAACUUCGUGCCAGCAGCCGCGGUAAUACGAAGGGUGCAAGCGUUAAUCGGAAUUACUGGGCGUAAAGCGUGCGUAGGCGGUGAGUUAAGUCUGUUGUGAAAUCCCCGGGCUCAACCUGGGAAUGGCAAUGGAUACUGGCUCGCUAGAGUGUGAUAGAGGAUGGUGGAAUUCCCGGUGUAGCGGUGAAAUGCGUAGAGAUCGGGAGGAACAUCAGUGGCGAAGGCGGCCAUCUGGAUCAACACUGACGCUGAGGCACGAAAGCGUGGGGAGCAAACAGGAUUAGAUACCCUGGUAGUCCACGCCCUAAACGAUGCGAACUGGAUGUUGGUCUCAACUCGGAGAUCAGUGUCGAAGCUAACGCGUUAAGUUCGCCGCCUGGGGAGUACGGUCGCAAGACUGAAACUCAAAGGAAUUGACG
rnacentral:rRNA from 1 species